UGCUGCGGCAAAUAAAACCAGAAAUCACAUCAUCUGAAUAUUUGGAUGUGUAGAAUCCUUGAUGAUUCCACAUCAGAUAAGCUAAGCCAGACCUGGCUCCAGAGGAAUUUAUCAUGUUUAUUAAUACAAGAGGAAAAUGCUAAUGACGCUCAGAUUAGCAUAUGUUUUAGCUCUUAUGCUGCAGAAAUGUCAGAAGCUUAUUAAAUAUCUUUAGUCUAUUUCUUUAAAUGUAAAAUAUGACAGUAUGUCAUCUAUGCUAAUACAAAUAUUCUGGAUUAAUUCUGAAUUUCCUGUCAGCCUCCUGUUCUGAAACCUGCCUGGUCAUAAUCUGUCCUUACCUCAGAAGACCCUUCAUCAUCAUCAUCAUCAUCAUCAUCAUCAUCAUCGUCCCUGCUGCUGGCCUCUGAUCUAAUGUCUCCUCCCUGACUUUGCUCUUUCUAUUGUGACAAUAAAGAUUUCUUUUAAAUAAUGU